UACCAGCACCCCGAGUGGUCGGGACGUUUAUUGGGCCUAAAGCCUCCGUAGCCGGUUCUACGAGUCUUCCGUUAAAUCCAACUGCUUAACAGGUGGGCUGCGGAAGAUACUAUAGAGCUAGGAGGCGGGAGAGGCAAGCGGUACUCGAUGGGUAGGGGUAAGAUCCGUUGAUCCAUUGAAGACCACCAGUGGCGAAGGCGGCUUGCCAGAACGCGCUCGACGGUGAGGGAUGAAAGCUGGGGGAGCAAACCGG
rnacentral:rRNA from 1 species